rnacentral:rRNA from 1 species
UCGGGAAUUUUGGGCAAUGGGGGAAACCCUGACCCAGCAACGCCGCGUGAAGGAUGAAGUAUUUCGGUAUGUAAACUUCGUAAGAAUAGGAAGAAUAAAUGACGGUACUAUUUGUAAGGUCCGGCUAACUACGUGCCAGCAGCCGCGGUAAUACGUAGGGACCAAGCGUUGUUCGGAUUUACUGGGCGUAAAGGGCGCGUAGGCGGUGUGUCAAGUCAGUUGUGAAAUCUCCGAGCUUAACUCGGAACGGUCAACUGAUACUGUCACACUAGAGUACAGAAGGGGCAAUCGGAAUUCUUGGUGUAGCGGUGAAAUGCGUAGAUAUCAAGAGGAACACCUGAGGCGAAGGCGGGUUGCUGGGCUGAUACUGACGCUGAGGCGCGAAAGCUAGGGUAGCAAACGGGAUUAGAUACCCACGUAGUCCCUGAGCGGGCUGGCAAGGCGCAU